rnacentral:rRNA from 1 species
GGGUCAGUAGGUUGGUCGUGCCACCGGUACGUACUGGUCUCACUGAUUCCUCCUUCCUGAAGAACCGUAAUGCCAUUAAUUUGGUGUUGCGGGGGAACAGGACUGUUACUUUGAAAAAAUUAGAGUGUUUAAAGCAAGCUAACGCUUGAAUACAUUAGCAUGGAAUAGUGAAAUAGGACGAUCGAUCCUAUUUUGUUGGUUUCUAGGAUUGACGUA